ACAAAUAUAUUCAUAUACAACUAUGUUAGCUUAAUUAAUAUGUGCAUGAAUUAUAAUUUAUUAGAAUGAAUUCAAUUCCAAGGAUCUAAAUGGGUUCCAAGAGUAAUUUCUAAACAAGAAUUACUCGAUCACAAGAAUGGAUACUCUCUCCCGAAAAAAGAUGGAAGACUAUUAACCAUGACUACAGCAUGCAAAAUGGCGCCUAUCAUUUCAGACAACUCAGGCUUCUUUGCACUCUGCUUGGCCUUUUGCAUGAUCAACUCAUGAACGUCUGAUUUCUCCAAGGAACUCUGUUUGCCCUUCUUACCUUUUGCAUGAUUAACUCACAAACGUCUGCAAGCACCUGGAUAUAUGCGCACUGGGAUUCAGGCUCUCAGGAUGGAGACACCGUGUUCUGAAUGCAAGGAGAAAGCACGACAGGUAACGAGGAAACAUCUGUCAUUACCAUCAGGAAGGAAGAACCAUACGCAAAAUCGCAGUAUGGAGCUGCUGUGCGCCAUUGCUAGGCCGCCUCAAGAGAUCUGGAGUAUCAGGGAACGUAUCAACUUCAGGAUUGCCCUGGCCAGGUAUAUAGUAUAUUGUUCUGCUGAGACGUGAGCCAAACAUAUUGCACUGCCGCAAUCCCAAUAGCUUGAGCUUCCUUAGCGAAAAUCAAAACCUGUACAACCGUCCAUUCAUACUAGAAGCAGAACAUUUCUAAAACAAGCUCCUUUCGUGUAAUUCUAGAUUUGGUCAGGAGUCAGGACUGGCCAAGAGUUGCACAAUUCAUCGCCACAAAGACAACUGAACAGCACUUCCACUACGCUCCGUGAAUGCAACAGUUUUCUGCUUUUCAGACCUGAGUCUAAGACCAUGAAUAUUUCCUGAAGCAACGCCUCACAACCAAACAGUAGAGAAAAAACCAUCUGAAAUCGUCCUGUCCAAGGCAUGAGCACCAGCAGCAAUGACCUCACAGCCUCAGCUCAAAAAACCACCUCAGUUGUCUAUGACAUGAGCAUGAGCAGGAUGGACAGAAAUUUAAUUGUAACAUGUCUGUAGCACUUCUGCAUAUACCAGGUCAUAUUGUUGCUAAUACACGAGCCUGAUUAGUGAUGAAUCCUCGCUGUUCUCCAAUAAAUUAGUGUUAUCAGCAAGAAUCAUAACAUAUAUGGCAGUCCUGGCAAUGACCAGCUAUUUGUUGACUGUGUUACACAACAAAAACCUGAAUCUGUACACAGUUACAAGAGCAAGCUGUGCACCAACAUUUCAACAGAUUAAAUAACAUUGUUGGGCCCCUUCCAUCCCCAUUUUCUGCCUAACCUACAGACUAACGACAUUUGCCAGAAAAGGCCAAUGCACAUUGGGUUACAGUAUAUACACACGUGCGCAUUAGUUGAAUACAUGCAACAAGGUGUUGAAGCAUUAUACAGAAAAGCUGGACUUAGCAAUGAGAAGGAUUUCCUCUCCUCCAAAUGAAUAAUCAAAUGAGAGAGCAUCAUAUGAAUACUGACCCUAAAUGCCAAGAUUAGACAAAAAAAGAUCUACUCUUUCACCUACACUGCCAUAAUUUUACAACAGCUGUGAAAAAAGAUGACCAAGCCACAUCUGAUCAAGAAAUGCUAGCCCCACGAUAGCCCAUACGCUCUCAAGCUUCCAUUGAGGCUGCUGCUUAUCAAGGAGCUUUCUUGCCUUUCCAUCAGAUCCACUGAGCUCACAACUCAGGUGGUCACAAAUAGGCUCUCCAAGGGCCGGUUUGGCACCUAUGGAAAAACAAUUGCUCAGGGGCUUCACAAAUUCCAUAGCUGUGCCAGUGGCAUUAAGCACUAUGUGCAUAUGAAAAACCGCUUCAACCUUCAGGUGAUGGGGGCCUGUGA